CAGCUCCACAGACUGGACCAGGCCGCAGGGGGACAGGAGGCGAGACAGGGACUCCUGCCAAGGGGAGCAGAGUGAGUGACCGCAGGGCCGUCCCUGGAGCCUCCCCACCUAUGCUGGUGACAGCAGGAGCAGAGCCCACGUCCACCCAGGUCAGUCAGACUUCCAAGGAAGGUACUGCCAACAUGUCUUGAAUUCUGGUGGAAACUGCGAAUGUUUGGACCUUUCAUCACAGUGAUCACAAUGUUUUUUCGAGACAGUCUCGCUACGUAUUACAGGCUGGCCUCGACCCUGCAUCAAUCUUCCUGCCUCAGCCUCCCGAAAGUGGUAUGGAGCCAGAAAACGAUUUCUGAGCAAAAAAAGGUUUUGCCUUCAGCUAGCUGACUGAACUGACAGAGCCACUCCCAGAUCAUACCCUCUCUCACACCUAACACAGGUCCUCCUUCACUGUCAUUUGUUCUCAGUAAAUGUAUCCAGUGUACUUUUCUAUCGAAUCAUGUAAACUAAGUGUAACUUCCUCAGCCAAUGAACUGAUAUGAUAAAUGCCUUGCUUCUGUAUCCCCAUCCCUCUUCCCUUAACCCAUAUAGACCCUGUUCACUGCCAGCUCCAGGUUGAUUGCUUUGUGGAAAAAUCCCCGGUCAGUCCACCAGUGUAAUAAAGCUAUACACUUGCCUCCAA